rnacentral:rRNA from 1 species
CCUACGGGAUGCACCAGUGGGGAAUAUUGCACAAUGGGCGCAAGCCUGAUGCAGCCAUGCCGCGUGUGUGAAGAAGGCCCUAGGGUUGUAAAGUACUUUCAGCGGGGAGGAAGGCGAUGCGGUUAAUAACCGCGUCGAUUGACGUUACCCGCAGAAGAAGCACCGGCUAACUCCGUGCCAGCAGCCGCGGUAAUACGGAGGGUGCAAGCGUUAAUCGGAACUACUGGGCGUAAAGCGCACGCAGGCGGUCUGUCAAGUCGGAUGUGAAAUCCCCGGGCUCAACCCGGGAACUGCAUCCGAAACUGGCAGGCUUGAGUCUUGUAGAGGGGGGUAGAAUUCCAGGUGUAGCGGUGAAAUGCGUAGAGAUCUGGAGGAAUACCGGUGGCGAAGGCGGCCCCCUGGACAAAGACUGACGCUCAGGUGCGAAAGCGUGGGGAGCAAACAGGAUUAGAUACCCUCGUAGUC